GAAGAGGAGAGAGUACGGAGGGAAAACCAGAGGAAGAGUGGGGAGAGAGGAAGAUAUAAGGGAAGGGGGGGGGCAGUGUGCACUGUGCAGUUAACUACAGAGAGAGAGAGAGGGAGAGAGAGAGAGAGAGAGAGAGAGAGAGAGAGAGAGGGAGAGAGAGAGAGAGAGAGAGAGAGAGAGAGAGCGAGCAGCCCGCCGGCCCAUUGAGGAAAGAUGGCUACAGUCACUGCAAACGGAGUGCAGCAAGAGAAUGGAUUCAGCACCACGAACAGCGCCGGCAGGAUGAACGGGCUUACCAUCGGCCAGAACACCAUUCCAAUGAAGGACCACGACGCCAUCAAGCUUUUCAUCGGGCAGAUUCCCAGAAAUCUGGAGGAAAAAGACCUGAAACCCCUGUUUGAGGAAUUCGGAAAGAUAUACGAACUCACUGUACUGAAAGACAGGUUUACGGGAAUGCAUAAAGGAUGUGCCUUUCUAACAUACUGUGCCAGAGAGUCAGCACUGAAGGCCCAGAGCGCCCUCCAUGAACAGAAGACUCUGCCAGGGAUGAACCGGCCCAUCCAGGUGAAGCCAGCCGACAGCGAAGGACGAGGAGAAGACAGGAAGCUGUUUGUGGGAAUGCUCGGCAAGCAGCAGAGCGAGGAUGACGUCCGGCGGCUGUUUGAGACCUUCGGCCAGAUCGAGGAGUGCACCGUCCUGCGAGGGCCUGAUGGGGCCAGUAAGGGCUGUGCCUUUGUGAAGUUCUCCAGCCACGCAGAAGCACAGGCCGCCAUCAACAGCUUGCAUGGUGGACAGACUAUGCCUGGUGCCUCGUCCAGUCUGGUGGUCAAGUUUGCAGACACCGAUAAGGAGAGGACCCUGCGUAGGAUGCACCAGAUGGCGGGCCAGCUCGGCAUCUUCAGUCCCAUGACCAUCCAGUUUGGGGCCUAUGGCGCCUACUCUCAUGCUGUAAGUCUCAGCCCGGCGGGGGAGGAGACGCAGAUGAUGCAACAGCAAGCAGCCCUGAUGGCAGCGACACAAGGGUCCUACCUGAACCCCAUGGCAGCCAUCGCUGCCGCGCAAAUGCAGCAAAUGGCAGCUUUCAAUGUCAACGGCCUGGUGGCUACUCCCAUGACACCGUCCUCAGGCACCAGCACACCCCCAGGCAUCUCUGCCACAGCCGUGCCCAGCAUAGCCACCCCAAUCGGGGUCAACGGAUUCAGUGCCCUCCCGCCUCAAAGCAACGGGCAGCCCACCUCUGAGCCCAUCUACACCAAUGGUAUUCAUCCUUACCCAGCACAGAGUCCAACGGUGACCGACCCUCUCCAACAGGCUUAUGCCGGUGUCCAGCACUACGCAGCAGCCUACCCUGCCGCCUAUGCGCCAAUCAGCCAAGCGUUCCCCCAGCAACCAACCAUCAUUCCCCAGCAACAGAGGGAAGGGCCAGAAGGUUGCAACCUGUUUAUUUAUCACCUGCCCCAGGAGUUCGGAGAUGCGGAGCUCAUGCAAAUGUUCCUGCCUUUUGGCAACGUCAUCUCCGCCAAAGUCUUUGUGGACCGAGCGACCAAUCAGAGCAAAUGUUUCGGCUUUGUGAGUUUUGAUAACCCGUCCAGCGCUCAAGCCGCUAUCCAGGCCAUGAACGGGUUUCAGAUAGGCAUGAAGAGGCUGAAGGUGCAGCUAAAGCGGCCAAAGGAUGCCAACCGACCUUACUGACUCGUCUGCUGUCCAUACCCAGUUUGAGGUGGCCUUUCUCCGCUAUAGCCACACCCCCCCUACACCUGUCAUGGGGCCAAGUUCCCACAGCUGAUGAAGGGCCACAACACCUUAUUUCCACAAGUGCAGUAAAAGUACAAAGACUUCUUGCUCUGCUACAUAUCAUGAAGGAAGGGUGGUCCCUUGAUCCUGCUGGAAAACCCGCUGAAAGAUUGGGUGACUGAGAGAAGGAUCCCAGAGUUGUUGUUUUUUUUCUUUUCUGUUUUUUAAUUUUUAUUUAAUUUUUUUCUUUCUUCGCAAAUGCCUCUUUUUUCCCUGUUUUGCUUUGGCGUCUGUGGAAGAAGAUUUUUUGCAGAGACCAACUUUUUGCUGCUGUUUUUUAGACAUGAUGGGAAAAAAAACCUUUAUAGACUCAUUAUGCUCAAAGCAUGCAUACUGACACAGGAUAUAGAUAAACACACAUAAACACACACAUAACAAACAAAUCAUACACAUUUAAAGAUGCUACACCUAAAAAAACAAAACAAAUGAAAAAUGAAAAAAAAAAUCUACUUUGUACAUGUAUAAAUACGUGCAAAUGCCAACUCAAGUACUGAAGCAAACACACGCGUGUGCACGCACACACACAUACACACAAACACACACACCAGCCUGCUGCCAUUUUGGUUUUUGUGCCUACACAGGUGUUGUGCUCUGUGACAGGGCAAGCUCUGGAUCGAAGAGGAAAACGAAAAGAAGAAGAAGAAGAAGAAGAAGAAGAAGAGGAGACAAGAGGAGAAUCCAGGAUAAUUUACAUGCAUCAUUCCUUAGGAAAUAGGGACCAAAGGACUAAACGCUUUUUAAAAGAAUAUAAAUAUAUAAAUAUAUAAAUAUAUAUUUAAAAACUCAUACCUUGUAGCUGCAAGUAUUACAAUUUACUCGUAGUAAAAAAAAAUCAUUAAAUCAAUAUCCAGUGGCCUACUGUAAGUACGAAUAAAAGAAAAUGGAAAUAAUGUAUAAAAAAAAGACAUGGAAUCGUAGUAUAGGGGCUGAUCUUUUGCUCUGGAUGCUGAUUUAGCACCAGGUUGUAGAAUAGUAAAGUAGAAUAGAAAAAAAAAUGUAGAUUUGCUAACUUUUGCUGUUGUUUAAAAAAAAUACUUGAAGUCGUAAUGAAAAGGGGGUAAAAAGAGGGGGGAAAAAAGGAAACAUUCAUCUGCCCCUGUGAGCAACGCGUCUCUUUCUCCUGGAUGUUAAAGGUAUCAGCCACUGGAUAUCUCGCUCAUCAUAAUGUACAAGUCACUGCACUCUCUGACAGCUAUGAACAGACUGUUCUGGAUGGGAAAAAAAGAAUGACAAGAGAGAAAAAAAAAAAAGACUGAACUUACUAAUGUCUGUGCUGGACAGGGUGCAGACGUUUAAGGCUUCUCACUGGCCUUUGUGUUCAAGCGACAAUCCACUGUAAAGACCAAGCAAAAUGGACAUGGGGUGUGUCUUCUGUUUUUUCCCUGUUUUUUUUUUUUUCUUGACCUUUUGUAUUGCAACAUGGGGUGUGAAUUAUGAAGCCACAAAUUGUUAAAAGAAGAUGGUUCUAUAAAGAGAGAUGGACACAAGCAUGAUCAUGAGGGGAGCAAAAGAGGAUGAGGAGUGAGGCGACAGCUACUGAAACUGCCAGCAGAAUGAACUCAGUGUAUAAAGGAAUUGGCCCUUAUGGCAUUGGAAAUCCUUCAACAAAAAAAAAAAAAAAAAAAAAAAAAAAAAAAAAAAGUAUGACCGCUGUAAACAACCAGGACUUAUAUAAGCAACAUGCCAAGGAUAUGUGUAUCCACUGGAGAUGCUACAGAACUCCAGAUUGAGAAAAAUGGCACCUUGUCUCUUGGCAGAUACAAACAAACAUUUAUCUGAAGACAAACUCAAUUUACUGUAUUGAUGGCAAAGGAGUGCAGGCUUUUAGUGCUCAUUUAGCUCUGUCAAAUGUAAUGUAAAUUCCACUGGUAACAUGUUCCCUGACCUGCUUUCCUCAUAUAUUAUACAUAGAGCCUAUGGGAAAAAACAAAACGCACACACACACACACACAUGCACACACACACGCACACACACACACACACACACACACGCACACACACGCACACACACACACACACACACACACACACACACACACACACACACACACACACACACACACACAGCUUAAACAAACUAUAUCUAAAUUAGAUCUAACAGUCACUUUUAACCAUCAUUCAGCUCGCCUGUAGCCUCUCUGACACUGACGCCAGGCAGGACAGAGUAAAGCACUCCAGUACUGUCAUGUCUUGAUUUAGAGUCCUGUAGCCUUUAUUUUGACUGUUUUAGAGCUCUGGAUGCAGGCUCUUUUCUAAAAGCAGAUCAAUAUGUUUGGAAUGAGUCUAGAGGGAGGAGCAAUGCCGUUUCAGUUUACUCCCCAGUUUUCUCUGUCGAAACACCAGCUCACAUCCCUACACCAGCCCUUUGAGUACUGACAGUUGGCGGUAAGAGGCCGGGCUGGGCAAGAGGGAGAGACGGAGUGGAGGUGAAGAGAGGAAGUCAACAACCAGACAUCACAUCGAGAUCCUUUAAACUGAUGCUUCUAGGAUGAUGCCCAAUUAUUUAAUCGAUAAAAUGAGAAGCAGUUGCCAAGCCCCUGGUGACAAACACUAUGUAUUUGUGCUAUAUGCUUUAAAAAGAAGUGAUUGAACGGGACUGGAGUUUUGUACCUUAAGCUCCAGUCCAACCAGUUCCUGUUCACUACUGAGACUCUUCUCCUUGCUGUUCCUUCCCUCUCCCUCUCUUUAUAGGGAGAAAAGCAGACCUGAAGGAGGGAGUGAUAAAACGUGCUAGCAGAUUCCAGCCUCUUUAUCGUAUCGCCAUUGUCUUGUCAUUUAAAUAAGGAGAAGGUCUUGGGUUUGAGCCCGUGAUAUCAGCAUGCCAUGUGCCCCCUCUCGUUCCCGCUCGUCCUAAGAGCAGCCAUGCCUUUCCAAACCUCGGCCCGGUUGUUCAGCGGCUCACGCCUCGGAACACCAUUUUCGAACCUGGCUAAUGUCUGUGCUCACUACCCUUCAAUUAUCUCCUGCACCGCAUUAGACAUGCUAUUUCACCUUUCCUUCUAAUCAAACUAUAAUCACCAGCCUCUAUACAUUAGCAGCAACCAAGUGAAAAAUCUCUGGGAUAAUCACUUGGACCAAAUGACGGGAGAGAUGGUCCCCUGCAUGCACAUGGAUGACAGAAGGAAGAUUAGAGAGAAUUAUGUUUGUGCCUACUCGCUGGCAAGGCUGCUGACAGCUGACCUGGCACCAAUAAUACUGCCAAAUUUACCCGAAGAAGCGAAGGAGGAUGUGGGAUAAAACUUUCUUAAUAUUGAGGGUAGAUUGACAUUGCCAAAAAUUAAAAAGAGAAAGAUGGAUGGUAAAAUGUAUAAAAAAUAUUUUUUGUUUUGUUUUUUACUUUACCUCGAACGUUUCAGCAAUAGUUGCUCAGAAUUGGGUCAAAACCAACAAUUUUACUGGAAAUCCUCAAUUUUGUAGAAGCAGCUGCUGUGAGGCCUAUGUUAUUGUGCUUCUUCUUUCAGCACAUAAUUGUGUCUCAACAGUCUCUACAGAGGGCGUUUUUUAUUCUUUUCUUUUUUUUUUUUUCUUUUUUUUUUUUUUUUACAAAAUAACUUGUUCCACAUUUCUUUCUUUUUCUUGCUUGUAUCCCUGCUGGGACACCUGCAAAGCACAGUAUUGUUCAACACUGAAAUAAUAUUUGUGAAGCACAGUAGUUCUUCAGAGUCAGAAUAAUGCCCGUCAAAAUGACAGCUUUUUAAAGACAGCUUCAAAUACAUGUAAGGUAAAAAAAGAAAAUAAUAAAAAAACCCAGCCCUCCUUCCUCAGCCCUCAAUCGGACGUUAGAUGCAGAAGCUUCAUGAAUUGAUGUGAAGCAGGUGAAGUACGCCAUGAUCUGCAGGCUGUUUGUGCUCAUUAUUCAUAUGACGCUGAACUACUCAAUGGCAGCAAAUCUAAUGUUCCAUGAGCAAUUAAAUUUCCCGGGCUUGUCUCGGCCAGCUUUAGAGUACGCUCUGCAAGUGAGGCUCCGUCAGGCUGAACAUGAACCUCGAAUGCCUCUACUGAUCUUCUCUGUCUCACACCAGAUGCUGUACUAGUUCCCACUGCUAAUGGCGGGUCGAGUCCCCAGUGAGCCAAAGUCCAGCCUAGCCUAGUAUCCUGCUGUCUCCUAAGCUAACAGUGCAGUGUUCGUGUAGCAUCUCUGAGAUGCCAGGGUUAAAUUAGGCAACAUGAAGUCAGCGUUUCAAAACUUUUAACAAGGGUGCUCUCAUUACUUUUAGAUCCCAGGGAGGAUGUUACUGAAGUGACGUGCAUAAAAAAGAAAAAAAGAAAAAAAGAAAUAACUCUGGAACAACCAAAACAAGAGAAAAAAAGUUUGUUGGUUUUAGAUUUUCUCAUUCCCUCCUUUAUUGACAUAAGUCUGUGCCUGCCGUGCUCCCAGCUCCGGUCCGGUCUGGUUUAUAGUCCAGGCAAUGUUUCACCUCUAAGAGCAAUGACAAAUGUCGACCCAGCAGGCACUCACCAAGCUGUUGCCAAACUGUUAUUUGAUAUUUGCCCUCAAAUUUACAAAGCAAAAGCAUAACUUGGCAUUUUACCCCAAGGAAAUUAGAAUCAAUGUAAUUAGUUAUGAGAAUAUGACUGAAAGUAUAGUGAGUUCUUUUUCAAUAAGCAGUCAGACCACUUGCUCCUCUGCCACUGAUGCAUGUACCCACUCUGACCUUGUAUCAUUAAAUGAAAAACCGGGUGGUGUAUACAUAGUAUACCCAUUUCCAUACUUGCCACUACACCACAGCUCACAAGGUCAGUCCUCGGGAGAAGCAUGUUUCCUUAAAGAGCCCCAGCCAAUGGCAGGGCCGAGCAGAGAACUGCUCGAGCAUGUCUACGAAUCUCCAACCCCCUGGGUGCAUAACACUCACCCUAAAAUAGCAGUGAUUGUCAAGGAAAGGAAGUGAAAUGUAAUUGACUGAAAGUGGAGAGAUAAUUAAAGGAACCUGUUGGACAGGAGGGAAGAAAUUAAUGCCUCUCAUUUAAUAGCUGCUUUGGGAGAGAGCUUUUCCGUCAUCUCACUUUAGCGCAGAAAGGGUUUUGCUGUGGAAAUGGGAUUUCGUAUGGAAAAAGUUGGAGGUGGAAAUAGGCACUGGGUGGUGGGGGGUGCUGUGUGCUAAACUGAAACUCCACAAAAUCGCUCCCAAUACUCAGGGCAUCAGGCGCUAUGAUGUCAUGAUUAGUGGAGAGGUUCAGAGCCUUUGCCUUACCCCUGAUCCUGAGGGAGGUCGAGCAGAAUCACAAAUGCGAUGUGAGUGGGAGCUGUAAGAUCGCAUCCCAUCCCGGGGAGUGCUGAGCCAGCAGAAGGGCUGAAGAACCACCUAACCCGUGCUUUGGAUUUACAGUAUCAUCAUCCAAUUCCAACAGUAAAAAAAAAAAAAAAAAAAAAAAGAAAAAGAUGCCAUCGUCCACCUAACAACGCACAGUGAAUUGCUGGAGGUGUGCAAUUAUGCUUAACAAAAUGGCUGAACGUAAUGAAGACAAAGACUUUUUUUAUUCCUUAAUGUAAAUAGCCUACAAAAUACAAAAACAGAGGAAGGUUGUAUAGCAGCUUGUGUUGAGAAGCCCAACUCUGUGGGACAAUGAUGUCACUAUAAAAUGUAUCCACAGCAGUGCAGGGAUCUAGGAGAGUUUUAGUCCUUUUAAGCCCCUUACGUUUGGGCUGUGAACAUGCAUCCUACAACCCUAAGCGUUGGACCACGGCUUAGAGAGUAUUUGACUUAGUGUCAAACCUAAGCCACAGCCCCGAAGUGAUCCGUUAAUUAAGAUUCUGUGUACACCGACAUGUCAUGAUUUUUCUGACAGAAGAAGGAUCGCCUGUGCGGUAAUUGGAUUAGUCCAAUUGAGGCUGAUGAACAGAUAUGACAGUGACAGUGGAGUUCAUCCAUCUGCAUGCUUACCGCUUGACAGUGCGGCAAAAAAAAAAAAAAAAAAAAAAAAAAAAGAAAAAAGAAAAA